CCUACGGGAGGCAGCAGUGGGGAAUAUUGCGCAAUGGGCGAAAGCCUGACCCAGCGACGCCGCGUGAGGGAUGAAGGUCUUCGGAUCGUAAACCUCUGUCAGCAGGGAAGAACGGUCACUGUGCUAAUCAGCAGUGAAUUGACGGUACCUGCAAAGGAAGCACCGGCCAACUCCGUCACAGCAGCCGCGGUAAGACGGAGGGUGCGAGCGUUAAUCGGAAUUACUGGGCGUAAAGCGCUCGUAGGCGGUAUGUCAAGUCAAGGGUGAAAUCCCCGGGCUCAACGUGGGAACUGCCUUUGAAACUGGCAAACUGGAGUGUGUGAGAGGAUAGUGGAAUUCCAGGUGUAGGAGUGAAAUGCGUAGAGA
rnacentral:rRNA from 1 species